AUUGGUAGGAUCUACUGUAGAUAUGCAGAGUCCCCCAUGGGUAAAGCACUCAUUCUUUAAAGAAGCAUUCAACAUCAAGAGGCUUCCUGGUGAAUUACUGAACCUUUUCCUUAUUUUAUAAUACUUUGCGAAGAAUAUUCCACAGCCAUAGAUAUGAACCCAAACGUUCCACAGCAGCCUGGACAACCUUCUUUUGGUAACAUAGCUUACCAAUCUCCACUUCCAAAUCAGCCAGGGUAUGAUUGCCCAGGAGAGCAGUACAGUUAUACCGUGAUCUCAGGAUCAUUUCCAGGAGCACCAUGCAAUCCCCCAAUGGGACAAGGAUCAUAUACAGCAGGGCCAUGCAACCCAUCCAUGGGCCCAGGAUCAUUUUCAGGAGGGCCAUGCAAUCCCCCAAUGAAUCAAGGAUCAUAUCCAGCAGGGCAAUACAACCCAUCCAUUUGCCCAGGGUGCUGUCCAGGAGGGCAGAAUGCUGGUUAUAACAAGGGGCCAGGAUGUGGAUGUGGAUGUGGGCAUGUGCAAGGGCACGGUCAUGGCAAACAUGGAAAGAAACAUGGAAAGAAACAUGGAAAGGGUGGCAAGCAUUCUGGGAGCAGCUCAGACUCCGAUUAGAGCAUCGAGAUGUUUCAGAAGCAAUUCUGCAGAUACCUAGCUAUAUACAGUACUGUAUGUAUAUAUAUAUAUAUAUAUAUAUAUACAUGAUAUAAUACAUUGUAUGGCUAAAUAAAAGGAUUUACAUUGCUUGUGUAUAAUGUUAUUCAUACUUUGCCCAACUUUUUUUGAAUUGCAUUAAAUUAUUAGUAGAUGCAUAUAAAUGGACUGAGUAAAAAAUUAAACUAAGAUAAAAAUAGUUUUUUAAACUGUCUUACACAUUCCUAUCAUGGAUUUACUAUCUAUUAGGGAAUGUGUUUAUAUAAUUAAGAUAAGAUAAGAUAAACUUUAUUGAUCCCACAGUAGGGAAAAUUCACUUAUCAUAAAUAGGAAUGUUCCUAUUUAUAAUAUAUGGAAAACAGUUUAGGUACCUUCUGGCAAGCCAAUUAAAAUACAUUAUUGAAAUAUCAUGCUUUGAAAAAGGGACUUGAUCUGACUUCUAAUGCAGAAAAUCAGAGAAAAUGGAUCUUCCUAAAAAGUCAUUAUGGAUUCCAAGUAUUUUAUUUUUUUAAGUAAAGUAUUUUUUAAUCUAAAAUCACAUUUUAUAAGAAGAAUUUAUUGAAUAAAUUUAAGUAUGUAGAAAUAUGUUGCACAAUUUAGAUAUUUUUUAAACUCUUCAACGAGAAAACAAAAACAUCCAGACACAAUAAUAACUGAAUUUACACACAGGAACCAGAUCAAAUGUUUACAUACACUUGACCCUUAAUACUGUGUAUUACUGGACAAUCAGUGACUGUUUUUAUGUUGUGUGAUAAUUGUUCAUGAGUCCAUUGUUUGUCCUAAGCUGACAAACAGGACUCUUCUUGUGGAAAAUCCUUCAUGCUUCAUGAAAAUCAGUAUAAAACGAGAUAAAAUGUAAGUCACUCUGGAUAAGGGUGUCUACUGAAUGCUAAAAAUGUAAAUGUGUUCUCAGACCUUUGCAGUGAGGUUACCUUUAAGUGUUAAGAAGAAAUAAAAUGGUAUAUUUAAAUAUAAUGGCUUACUACAAAUUUUACUCGUGAUCUUUCCCCUUGUUUAACACAAUUGCCAUAAUUUAUAAAUUAAUGCUUAAUAAUAAAUAAAUAGUAAAUAUAACUAGAAUGUAUAUUUCCUGAAGAAAAUGUGAAUGGUGCCUGCAGGUGGCAAGUUCCCCUCAUCGUGCUGAUUGUUUUGAUAUGUCACAUGUCCAUGUUGUGUUAAUUUUUGAUUUUCACGGAAUUUCCCAUUCAUUUCUAUGGGAUUUUUUUUGCCUGCUUUUUCGUCCGCUGUGCGAACAUCGUUUGUUGGAUCACUUUUAAAAGUCAUAGUACACCUCUCCUCAAUGAGCCGGUCGAUUUGACACCUCAUUCAUGGGUCUAGGACAAAAGCUGUGGGACAAGUUACGCGCCGAAGUUUUGUCCGGCACAAUAACAAGAAUGUUGCUUUGCAAGCACCAUUAAUAAAUAUAAUAUCUCUCUUGGCUAUGUUUCAGGGACCUCACUUUAAGAACAGUAAGUCUAUAGUACAAAUGCUUGGUGUACACACUAUAUGCUAUGUGGUAUAACAUAUUGUUUGGUUCGUGAAACCUUUUCAGGUCAUGGGGUGUGUGCUUUACAUAUGCAGUAUGGUUUGGAUUGGAGGCGUUUGCAUGCAGGGGCCAUAUUUUCCAGGAUGGAUACGAUGGACCGGUUUGUACUGAAGUGAGGUGUGCGUGUGACUUCUUGCUCUCAAAGCAGAUGGAGGAUGGAGGUUGGGGGGAGGACUUUGAGUCGUGUGAGCAGAGGUGUUAUAUACAAAGCAAAAAUUCUCAG